ACACGACUCUCGGCAACGGAUAUCUCGGCUCACGCAUCGAUGAAGAACGUAGCAAAAUGCGAUACUUGGUGUGAAUUGCAGAAUCCCGUGAACCAUCGAGUUUUUGAACGCAAGUUGCGCCCAAAGCCAUCCGGUUGAGGGCACGUCUGCCUGGGCGUCACGUA
rnacentral:rRNA from 1 species